CCUACGGGUGGCAGCAGUGGGGAAUAUUGGGCAAUGGGCGCAAGCCUGACCCAGCAACGCCGCGUGAAGGAAGAAGGCUCUCGGGUUGUAAACUUCUUUUCUCAGGGACGAAGCAAGUGACGGUACCUGAGGAAUAAGCCACGGCUAACUACGUGCCAGCAGCCGCGGUAAUACGUAGGUGGCAAGCGUUAUCCGGAUUUACUGGGUGUAAAGGGCGUGUAGGCGGGACGGCAAGUCAGAUGUGAAAACCACGGGCUCAACCUGUGGCCUGCAUUUGAAACUGUCUUUCUUGAGUACUGGGGAGGCAGACGGAAUUCCUGGUGUAGCGGUGAAAUGCGUAGAUAUUAGGAGGAACUCCAGUGGCGAAGGCGGUCUGCUGGACAGCAACUGACGCUGAGGCGCGAAAGCGUGGGGAGCAAACAGGAUUAGAUACCCCUGUAGUC
rnacentral:rRNA from 1 species